AUACUUACCUGGCAGGGGAGAUAUCUUGAUCAUGAAGGAAGUUUCCCCAGGGUGAGGCUCUGCUACUGCACUCGGGUUGUGCUGACCCCUGAAGUUUACCCAAAUGUGGAAAACUCGACUGCAUAAUUUAUAGUAGUGGGAAUA
rnacentral:snRNA from 1 species